UCACCUCAUAUCGAUUUUUCUAGCUCCCAUAAUGUUAAAAGUACGAAAUGAGUUCGAAUAUUUAACUCAACAAUUUCGUCAGAAAAAUCCAUUUGUCCUUGCUAAAAAGGUAUUUGUUUUGUCACUAAAAGAAUGCACCAACAACCUUGAAAAUAUAUUUUUGACCAUCAAAACUCAUUCGGAAUCCUAUAAACACGAACAAAUAGUGCAACUUCAUCAUAUCAUAUGUUUUGGAACCAAAGAAAAAUUAUGGUUAUGAUGUAAAUACCCCUUGAAACUCAUUUAGGACAAAAAUUUAACUUUAACCUAAAUAUUCAAAUCACAACCUAAGGCCUCGAGAUUCUAACCGAUCAACUUACUUGACCAAACUUGACAUCGUGGACUCAAUAAAAUUGAUGAAAUCUCCAUAUGACGCUCGAAACUCAUUAUGUUGAUCAAAGUUAAUCAUAUAAAAAAUUCUAAACUUAAAAGGGACAAAAUCACCAAAAACAUAACUGAUCACACCACUUAUUCCCGCAACCCAAACUAAGUGUUGCUUGUUAAUUAAGCGCUUACCGUCAUAUCAAAAAGCUAUAUCCAACGAUCUCCUUUCCAGCCCCAUGUCUUAUGCGGAAUGUUGCUUUUGGAAAUCACACGUACGACCUUAGCUUUGAUAUCACUUGUUAAGUUCAAAUGCUUGUUAUUAUGCCAAAUAUUAUAAUUAAUAGCAAACUUAACUAAGCUUACCAAAUAAGUAUCAUAUUCAAUUGUGACGUCGAUCGAGACCACCUAGCCCCUCUGGGCCUUGCCAUAGUACAUAAAAUGUCACUGUGAAAAUCAAAUUUAUAAUUAAACCAAAACCUAACUGUACACAAAAAGAACUAACACUAUAUAACAUGUGGCAAUAAAUAUGUGGUCUAUAAAGUUUUUUCAGCUAAUUAAAUUCCAUAUAAAUCUACAAGUUCUAACCACUCCUCAUCACUUUCUUUUCACAACUUAAUUCUUGUUAUUUUUAGGAAAAGAAAUCACGGGGGUAAAAGGUAAAUUGAUUGCUUCAAUCGAGGUGAAGUGUGGAGGACAUUUGAUUCAUGAUACUUUUCACUCCAAUACUCAUCAUAUACCCAACAUAAGCCCUAGUAAGGUCAAUCAUUUUCAGAUUCAUGGAGAUGAAAUCAUUAAGAUGGAAAAGAAAAAUUUGCCAAGAAAGUGAUAGAGUCCAUCGAUCCUCACAACAAAUCAAUCACUUAGAAAGUGAUUGAAGGAGAUGUGCUAGACUUAUAUAAUUCCUUCAAAGGCAUCACAAGUAGUGAACAUGAGUGGACUACGUUGACAUUCAUGUACGAGAAGAAAAAUGAAGAUAUAUCAGAGCCCCUCACUGUAUUUGGUGUAUGGAUUGAAGGAGAUGUGCUAGACUUAUAUAAUUCCUUCAAAGUCAUCACAAGUAGUGAACAUGAGUGGACUACGUUGACAUUCAUGUACGAGAAGAAAAAUGAAGAUAUAUCAGAGCCCCUCACUGUAUUUGGUGUAUGGAUUGAUGUGAUCAAAGAGACAGAUGGUUACCUUUUCAAAAAAUAAAAAUAAAAAAUCUAUGAUACUCAACGAUUAUAUAUAUGUAUGUGCAUGCGCACAUAUUUAUGCUUGUCUAGUGAAUUUUUAAUAAUAUCGGCUAGUUCUAACUAGUCUGUGAAAUAAAUAAUGUUAUAUUAAAUAAUAUGGAUGAAGCUCCUAUCAAAUUGUAUAGAAUUUGCUAUUGAAUGACAAAAAUGAUUUGCUAUUC